rnacentral:rRNA from 1 species
AUGGCUGUGUGCCUUGCUCAAUGCAGAGGCCGAGGGUUAUCCUCCUUUUCGAAAAAAUAUAAGCCUGCCAUGGUAGCGAUUUUGGCCCAUCCCAAAAACCACAGCCAUGGCAGCCCUUUCUGCUGUGCAAGCAGGAGCUACGUGCACCAGGCUGCCCCUUUAGUUAACUCUUGCCGAGUGGACAUGGUCUGUGCAGUCCCGGUUGACUUUGAGAGAUGCCUAUCACUAGCUCAGGACGUGGAGAGCUACGGGUUAUUUCCCUUUCUGAUGAAAAAAGGGGAAGAAAGAGCAGAAAAGCUACAAUAUUACGCAGCACAAAAUUCAGUGUCUUGCUUGCUCGUAGUUCAGAGUAAGAAUUGGCAUCAGAGCUUGACCCGGUGGCCAUGUCAAGUGGUGGAGAGCAGCCGGUGCGGUGUGCCUCGCACGGCUCCAAGAAGCCAUCUGCGCAGCGGCAGCAACAACAACGCUCGCCAAUCCGAGGGUGCAGUAAGGCACGAUGAUGCGCGGGUGGCGAGAUCGUGGUUCAGCAGGUGGUGCGCGAGAGCAGCACCAACCUCUCCUUCCCGAUGCUGA